GACUAUGCGUCUCCGAAUGCACCAGAUGCAUUAAUGAUCCUGGCUCAGAGUGACCGCUGGNGGUUAAAGUGCCUAACACAUGCAAGUCGAACGGCAGCACAGGAGAGCUUGCUCUCUGGGUGGCGAGUGGCGGACGGGUGAGGAAUACAUCGGAAUCUACUCUGUCGUGGGGGAUAACGUAGGGAAACUUACGCUAAUACCGCAUACGACCUACGAGGUGAAAAGCAGAGGGAUCUUCGAGACCUUGCGCAGAUAUGAAUGAGCCGACGUCGGAUUAGCUAGUUGGCGGGGUAAAGGCCCACCAAGGCGACGAUCCGUAGCUGGUCUGAGAGGAUAGAUCAGCCACACUGGAACUGAAGACACAGUGUCCAGACUCCUACGGGAGGCAGCAGUGGGGAAUAUUGGACAAUUGGGCUGCAAAGCCUAGAAAUUCCAAAAGCCAAUUAACCCAAGCAGUUGUGUGUAUGAAAGAAAAGAGC
rnacentral:rRNA from 1 species